rnacentral:snoRNA from 2 species
CUCCUCUCAGGAUCACACCUGGAGAGUUUCCAGUACUCUACCAGUCUCGGCUAUGGGAAGGAAAGUCAACCAGAUACAUAUCCAUUCCAUUCCUAGCUUGGACAGUGGCUAGCGAGUGGAAGGCAAUCUGCUACAAGU